GGUGGUGAUGAUCAAUGCUUAUUAUUCUGACACCUCUUGUAUGAGAAUUGUCUGUAAAAAGCUUUUCGCUGAGCAUAUUAAGCAAAACUCUGAACC